GACGAACGCUGGCGGCGUGCCUAAUACAUGCAAGUUGAGCGCUGAAGGUUGGUACUUGUACCAACUGGAUGAGCAGCGAACGGGUGAGUAACGCGUGGGGAAUCUGCCUUUGAGCGGGGGACAACAUUUGGAAACGAAUGCUAAUACCGCAUAAAAACUUUAAACACAAGUUUUAAGUUUGAAAGAUGCAAUUGCAUCACUCAAAGAUGAUCCCGCGUUGUAUUAGCUAGUUGGUGAGGUAAAGGCUCACCAAGGCGAUGAUACAUAGCCGACCUGAGAGGGUGAUCGGCCACAUUGGGACUGAGACACGGCCCAAACUCCUACGGGAGGCAGCAGUAGGGAAUCGUCGGCAAUGGACGAAAGUCUGACCGAGCAACGCCGCGUGAGUGAAGAAGGGUUUCGGAUCGUAAAACUCUGUUGGUAGAGAAGAACGUUGGUGAGAGUGGAAAGCUCAUCAAGUGACGGUAACUACCCAGAAAGGGACGGCUAACUACGUG
rnacentral:rRNA from 1 species